AGUGAACGCUGGCGGUAGGCUUAACACAUGCAAGUCGAACGAGUGGCGGAGGGGUGAGGAAUACAACGGAAUCUACUCUGUGGAGGGGGAUAACGUAGGGAAACUUACGCUAAUACCGCAUACGAUCGAAUGAGCCGGUGUCGGAGUAGCUAGUGGGCGGGGUAAAGGCCCACCAAGGCGACGAUCCGUAGCUGGACUGAGAGGAUGAUCAGCCGACCUGGAACUGAGACACGGUCCAGACUCCUACGGGAGGCAGCAGUUGGGAAUAUUGGACAAUGGGCGCAAGCCUGAUCCAGCCAUACCGCGUGGGUGAAGAAGGCCUUCGGGUUGUAAAGCCCUUUUGUUGGGAAAGCGGUACCCAAAGAAUAAGCACCGGCUAACUUCGUGCCAGCAGCCGCGGUAAUAC
rnacentral:rRNA from 1 species